rnacentral:tRNA from 1 species
GCGGAUAUGGUGAAAUUGGUAAACACGCUAGAUUUAGGAUCUAGUUUACUUAUAAAUUAAUAAGUAAUAAGGGUUCAAAUCCCUUUAUCCGCA